GCAGACUCACUCUGUUUCGGGCCGUCUCCAACGUCCCCAAACUUUUUCCGUCUGCUACAGCAGCUCGCGGGGUCGUAUGCUGCUCGCUAGCCCCUCCUGCUGGCGAGGUGCUGCGUAUUCCGCUACAUCGUU